rnacentral:rRNA from 1 species
AGCUCCUCGAGUGGUAGGGAUGAUUAUUUGGCCUAAAACGUUCGUAGCCGGCUUAUCAAGUCCUUCGUGAAAUCCUGCGAUUCAAUCGUAGGGCGUGCGAGGGAUACUGUUAGGCUUGAGGACGGGAGAGGUCGACGGUAGUCUUGGGGUAGGGGUGAAAUCCUAUAAUCCCAAGCCGACCACCAGUGGCGUAGGCGGUCGACUAGAACGUGCCUGACGGUGAUGGACGAAAGCUGGGGGAGCGAACCGGAUUAGAUACCCGAGUAGUCC